rfam:Asian citrus Psyllid, Diaphorina citri - Florida Strain, whole genome shotgun sequence.
GCCUAGUUAGCUUGGAAGGUAGAGCGUCUGCCUUGUAAGCGCUAGGUCACGGGUUCGAUUCCCGCCCUUGGCG